UGUCCCUGAGCUGGGUACGGUUGCACCUGGUUUGCUGACGCUGGUCUCCUAUCAGACAGGAAUGAAGUAACUCCUUGUUGAUGCCAGCCUGGCUGCGGUCUGUGCUCAUGCCUGGUUCAUGCCCUAGACACAUGG